rnacentral:rRNA from 1 species
GAUGAACGCUGGCGGCGUGCCUAAUACAUGCAAGUCGAGCGAACGGACGAGAAGCUUGCUUCUCUGAUGUUAGCGGCGGACGGGUGAGUAACACGUGGAUAACCUACCUAUAAGACUGGGAUAACUUCGGGAAACCGGAGCUAAUACCGUGUGAUAUUUUGAACCGCAUGGUUCAAAAGUGAAAGACGGUCUUGCUGUCACUUAUAGAUGGAUCCGCGCUGCAUUAGCUAGUUGGUAAGGUAACGGCUUACCAAGGCAACGAUGCAUAGCCGACCUGAGAGGGUGAUCGGCCACACUGGAACUGAGACACGGUCCAGACUCCUACGGGAGGCAGCAGUAGGGAAUCUGCCGCAAUGGGCGAAAGCCUGACGGAGCAACGCCGCGUGAGUGAUGAAGGUCUUCGGAUCGUAAAACUCUGUUAUUAGGGAAGAACAUAUGUGUAAGUAACUGUGCACAUCUUGACGGUACCUAAUCAGAAAGCCACGGCUAACUACGUG